UACGUAGGGGGCUAGCGUUGUCCGGAAUCAUUUGGCGUAAAGCGCGCGUAGGCGGCCAGAUAAGUCCGGUGUGAAAGUCAAAGGCUCAACCUUUGAAUGCCGCUGGAAACUGCCUGGCUUGAGUCCGGAAGGGGCGAGUGGAAUUCUUGGUGUAGCGGUGAAAUGCGUAGAUAUCAGGAGGAACACCAAUGGCGAAGGCAGCUCGCUGGGACGUGACUGACGCUGAGACGCGAAAGCGUGGGGAGCAAACAGG
rnacentral:rRNA from 1 species